rnacentral:lncRNA from 1 species
UACUACCAUUUGUACUAAAUCUGCUUAAUCUAGUUUACCCAUGGCCUCCCAUUCUCAUAGAUUGACCAUAUUGAUUGCAAGAGUUACACAACAGUUUGCUUAAUUUCUCUAAUACACUUCAGAUAUGUGUAGCAUAUUUGGUGAGCCAAUACACCAUGGAUCACUACUCCCAUGGCUCGUAAAACCACUCACUAGUUAUAUUGUAGAGCGUCUAUAAGAAC